ACCGCGAUAGCUCAACUGGUAGAGCAUCUGCCUGGUCGGCGGGGGGUCGUCGGUUCAGUUCCGGCUUGCGGCA
rnacentral:tRNA from 1 species